GACGAACGCUGGCGGCGUGCUUAACACAUGCAAGUCGAACGGAAAGGCCCUGCUUUUGUGGGGUGCUCGAGUGGCGAACGGGUGAGUAACACGUGAGUAACCUGCCCUUGACUUUGGGAUAACUUCAGGAAACUGGGGCUAAUACCGGAUAGGAGCUCCUGCUGCAUGGUGGGGGUUGGAAAGUUUCGGCGGUUGGGGAUGGACUCGCGGCUUAUCAGCUUGUUGGUGGGGUAGUGGCUUACCAAGGCUUUGACGGGUAGCCGGCCUGAGAGGGUGACCGGCCACAUUGGGACUGAGAUACGGCCCAGACUCCUACGGGAGGCAGCAGUGGGGAAUAUUGCACAAUGGGCGGAAGCCUGAUGCAGCAACGCCGCGUGCGGGAUGACGGCCUUCGGGUUGUAAACCGCUUUCGCCUGUGACGAAGCGUGAGUGACGGUAAUGGGUAAAGAAGCACCGGCUAACUACGUGCCAGCAGCCGCGGUGAUACGUAGGGUGCGAGCGUUGUCCGGAUUUAUUGGGCGUAAAGGGCUCGUAGGUGGUUGAUCGCGUCGGAAGUGUAAUCUUGGGGCUUAACCCUGAGCGUGCUUUCGAUACGGGUUGACUUGAGGAAGGUAGGGGAGCAUGGAAUUCCUGGUGGAGCGGUGGAAUGCGCAGAUAUCAGGAGGUACACCAGUGGCGAAGGCGGUUCUCUGGGCCUUUCCUGACGCUGAGGAGCGAAAGCGUGGGGAGCGAACAGGCUUAGAUACCCUGGUAGUCCACGCUGUAAACGGUGGGUACUAGGUGUGGGGUCCAUUCCACGGGUUCCGUGCCGUAGCUAACGCUUUAAGUACCCCGCCUGGGGAGUACGGCCGCAAGGCUAAAACUCAAAGGAAUUGACGGGGCCCCGCACAAGCGGCGGAGCAUGCGGAUUAAUUCGAUGCAACGCGUAGAACCUUACCUGGGUUUGACAUGGAUCGGGAGUGCUCAGAGAUGGGUGUGCCUCUUUUGGGGUCGGUUCACAGGUGGUGCAUGGCUGUCGUCAGCUCGUGUCGUGAGAUGUUGGGUUAAGUCCCGCAACGAGCGCAACCCUUGUUCACUGUUGCCAGCACGUUAUGGUGGGGACUCAGUGGAGACCGCCGGGGUCAACUCGGAGGAAGGUGGGGAUGACGUCAAGUCAUCAUGCCCCUUAUGUCCAGGGCUUCACGCAUGCUACAAUGGCUGGUACAGAGAGUGGCGAGCCUGUGAGGGUGAGCGAAUCUCGGAAAGCCGGUCUCAGUUCGGAUUGGGGUCUGCAACUCGACCUCAUGAAGUCGGAGUCGCUAGUAAUCGCAGAUCAGCAACGCUGCGGUGAAUACGUUCCCGGG
rnacentral:rRNA from 1 species